rnacentral:rRNA from 1 species
GAUGAACGCUAGCGGCAGGCUUAACACAUGCAAGUCGAGGGGUAUAGUUCUUCGGAGCUAGAGACCGGCGCACGGGUGCGUAACGCGUAUGCAAUCUACCUUUUGCAGAGGGAUAGCCCAGAGAAAUUUGGAUUAAUACCUCAUGGUAUGUGAGAAUGGCAUCAUUUUCACAUUAAAGUCACAACGGCAAAAGAUGAGCAUGCGUCCCAUUAGCUAGUUGGUAAGGUAACGGCUUACCAAGGCAACGAUGGGUAGGGGUCCUGAGAGGGAGAUCCCCCACACGGGUACUGAGACACGGACCAGAGUCCUGCGGGAGGCAGCAGUGAGGAAUAUUGGACAAUGGGCGCAAGCCUGAUCCAGCCAUGCCGCGUGCAGGAUGACGGUCCUAUGGAUUGUAAACUGCUUUUGUACAGGAAGAAACACUGGUUCGUGAACCAGCUUGACGGUACUGUAAGAAUAAGGAUCGGCUAACUCCGUGCCAGCCGCCGCGGUAAAAC